UCAGUAUUGCAGCGAAAUACAUUUUCUUCAUUUCAUUGUAAACAUUUGUGGAAAUAUUAACUUUUGUUAUGGUUCAAAUACGUUUAACGACACAACGAUAAAAAAUGAAUCCACAAUAUAUACAACAGCAGCAGACACAGCAACAACCUGGAUAUUAUCCUGGUCCACCAACUUCAUCUCCAUACGGAGAACUAAAUUCUAAUGUUCCUUCAAAUCCUUUAAACGGACCUCCAAUGAAUUCCCAAUAUAUGUCUCAGAAACCAAUGCAAGGACCGCCUACUACUAAUUUGCAUCAGCCUUCAGCACCAUAUUAUAUGAAUCAUAUACAACCACAUGGAAACUCUCAGUAUGAAUCAUCGACAAAUAAUCCACAUAAUGUGAUGCCAUCUCCGACCAGUCAAAACAAUAUAGUUAAUCAAAUGUCAAAUAUGUGUUUGGGGGAUCCACAAAGACCACCAUCGACGAAUUUUCCUCCGCCACCUUUACCUGGGAAAAGUAGUCCAACAGUGUCUACACCUUCAAAUGUUAAUGGAUUUAACAAUGCUUUAGAUGCAUCAUUGCCUGGAAGUGGACCUAUUGGACAGACUGAUCCUGGUGAAAAAACUGCACCCCCUAUUUCUGGACAAGAUUUACAACAGACAAGUUCGGAAAAUCUGUCUACACAUCAGUCCGGUCUUCCAUUUUCUGAACAUUCUACAGGAUCUAAUCCCGGGAAAUAUUAUCCUGGACAAAAUGUAUCGUCUGAACAAGGAUUCAAUACGGGAUUAUCGACACAGACUGCUCAAAGGAACAUCACCGAUACACCUUCUGGACAACCAAACUUUCCCAGACCACCGACAACGGGGCAAAAAUCGACAGGUCCACCGUUACCAGGACAACAAAAUUUAUCGAAUUUGCCAUUACAAGGACAACCGAAUCUGUCCAAUUCACCUUUGCCUGGACAACAAAAUCUUUCCGGCCCAUUAAUGUCCGGUCCACCAAAUUUCUCUGGACCACCAUUACCAAGUCAACAGAGUCAGAGUAACACAGCCACGCAAGGAGUACAUGGUCAACAAAAUUUACCUGGACUGCCACCGUUACCCAAACAAACCUUAUCUGGAGCACCACCAUUAUCGAAGCAAAAUUUAUCAGGACCACCUUUACCAGGACAGUCGAAUAUAUCUGGUCCUCCUCUUCCAGGACCACCUUUACCAGGCCAUCCUUCUAUGCAAGCCCAGCAAAGGCCCAAUCAAUCCUAUCUAGAACAAUCGAACAUGCCUAUGUCUAAUCUACACGGUCAAUCAAAUUUAUCCGGCCCUCCGUUGAUGGGUCAACAGAAUAUACUCCCGCCGCCAAUGUCUGGUCAACAAAAUAUCGCUCCACCUCCAUUACCGGGUCAACAAAAUAUCGCUCCACCUCCAUUACCGGGUCAACAAAACUUCAACAGACAACCAUUUUUAGGACAACAGAAUUUAUCUGGUCCGCAAGUUCCACCUCCAUUACCUGGUCAGGCUAUGGGACAGAUGAUGAAUCCUCCUUCGAAUUUACCACAAUCAACUCAGAGACAGUACGCAUCUAAUCCACCUAUGCAGGGACAAGGUAUUGGAAAUCCUUUAGGGCACAAUCGUUCUCCACCUGGUACGAUGCCAGGCUACCAACCUGCUGGAUACCAUGGCUAUAGUAAUGAUAUGUAUAAUGCUCAAAGAGGUUCGUACCAGGGCGGUGCACCAGGUGCAGCCGGAGGAUAUCAACCAGGUAUUCAACCGCAACAAGCUAGACGUUUGGAUCCUGAUCAAAUGCCAAGCCCAAUUCAAGUAAUAGAAGAUGAUCAAGACGUCAGAGGUGGUGUAUUUAUAACAAAUCAAAAGGGGUUAGUUCCGCCAUUGGUAACUACCAGGUUUGUGACGCAGGAUCAGGGGAAUGCAUCCCCUAGGUACAUUAGGUCCACUAUGUACACUGUUCCUACCACAGCAGAUAUUAUAAAACAAACAAGUGUUCCAUUUGCACUAAUAGUAAGUCCGAUGGCUCGCAUAGCGGAGAACGAGUACGAACCGCCGAUUGUAGAUAUGGGAGAGAUUGGUCCAGUUCGUUGCGUGCGGUGCAAAGCGUAUAUGAGUCCAUUCAUGCAGUUUAUCGAUGCGGGUAGAAGAUUCCAGUGCAUGUUUUGUAAAGCAACCACAGAAGUACCAGCAGAAUAUUUCCAACAUUUGGAUCAUACUGGCCAACGUAUGGAUCGUUACGAAAGGCCGGAAUUAAUGCUGGGGACGUACGAGUAUAUUGCGACAAAAGAUUAUUGCAGAAACAACCAUUUCCCAAAACCACCAGCCAUCGUGUUCGUACUCGAUGUGUCGUAUAACACAGUCAAGUCAGGCUUAGUCAAUCUACUCUGUAUGAAAAUGAAAUCAAUUCUACGGAAUUUACCAGUCGACGUUGGGCAAUCGAAGACGAACAUAAAGGUCGGAUUUAUAACGUACAACAAUACGGUACACUUUUACAAUGUGAACUCCUGCCUCGCCCAACCGCAAAUGAUGGUUGUGGGUGAUAUACAAGACGUGUUUAUGCCACUUCUUGGCGGAUUCUUGUGCGACGUCGAAGAAAGCGAAGCGGUUAUCGACUGUUUAAUGACGCAGAUACCAGCCAUGUUUGCAGAUACUCGUGAAACGGAAACGAUUCUUGCACCUGCUAUACAAGCUGGAUUGGAAGCGUUGAAGGCUUCAGACUGUGCUGGUAAAUUAAUGGUUUUCCACUCGUCUUUACCAAUUGCUGAAGCCCCUGGCAAACUGAGAAAUCGUGACGAUCGUAAAGUGCUGGGAACGGAGAAAGAAAAAACGGUGCUAGCUCCUCAGAAUAACGUUUACAAUAACUUAGGACAGGAAUGUGUAGGUGCUGGAUGUUCCGUAGAUCUGUUUGUCUUCAAUAAUUCAUACGUAGACAUUGCGACAAUAGGUCAGGUUGCCAGACUAACUGGCGGAGAAGUAUAUAAAUACACUUAUUUCCAGGCCGACAUAGACGGUGAUCGUUUAGUUUCGGAUGUCAUCAAUGAUAUUAGUAGACCAAUUGCCUUCGAUGCCAUCAUGCGUGUGCGUACGUCGACUGGUGUUCGAGCAACUGAUUUCUUUGGACACUUCUUCAUGUCGAAUACCACGGAUAUGGAGUUAGCUAGCAUAGAUUGCAAUAAGGCCAUUGCGGUGGAAGUGAAACACGAUGACAAACUGACAGAUGACGAAGGUGUAUAUAUUCAAGCAGCUUUGUUGUAUACUUCUUGCAGCGGAAUCAGACGAUUGCGUAUAAUUAACCUUAGUUUAAAGACUUCGUCUCAAAUAGCUGAAUUGUACCGAGCGUGUGACCUAGAUGCUAUUAUAAAUUACUUCUCCAAGCAAAGUGUUUUCAAGCUGAUCGAAUCGUCUCCGAAAGCUGUAAAGGACAGUUUAGUCGCAAGGUGUGCAAACAUACUAGCUGCGUAUCGAAAACACUGUGCUUCACCGUCAAAUGCUGGUCAAUUAAUAUUACCAGAAUGUAUGAAACUGCUCCCGCUUUACAUAAAUUCACUGUUGAAAAGCGAUGCAUUGUCUGGAGGUGCUGAUAUGACCAUCGACGACAGGUCUUUCGUUAUGCAAACGGUUGCGAUAAUGCCUAUUUCAAUAUCGGUCGUAUAUACGUACCCAAGAUUACUUCCGUUACACGAUGUUGAUCCACAAGACACAGAACUACCACAGAUGCUACGCUGUUCCAUUGACAAAUUUACCGACUACGGCGCAUAUUUACUUGAAAACAGUAUCCACAUGUUCCUGUGGCUAGGUCUGGGACUUUCUCCACAGUGGGUACAAGCAGUGUUUGGAGUUCCAUCGGUAGCUCAAGUCGAUACGGAUCAUACUGCACUGCCAAUAUUAGAUACUCCAAUGAACAAACUUAUAACAGAUAUUAUUGACCGCGUACGCAUGGAAAGGCAUCGUUGCAUGAGGUUAACUAUAGUAAGACAACGAGAAAAAAUGGAAACGGUGUUGCGUCAUUUCCUGAUCGAAGAUAGAGGAAACGACGGAAGUCCCAGUUACGUUGACUUCCUUUGCCAUAUGCACAAAGAAAUAAGAGCACUUCUUAGCCAAUAAAAUAAAUCUUAAAGCAAUCAGUUACAUUGCGUUGGAAUCAUAGCUUGCUACGUCUUCGUGGCUGAUCGUCACGCAUAAUACCUAUCAGAAGGGCAAUGAACUUUACGAGAUAACCAAUCAUUCCGCGAUAAAGAAUCGGCGCAUGUGAAGGGAAACAUCCAGGUACACUCACAUACAGUGAUUUAUACACGAAUAAUUGUAAACGUAAAAAUUGUAUUAUU
rnacentral:misc_RNA from 1 species